CGCAGAGCCCCAGCGCAGGAGCGUUUCCACACUUCACCGCUUCCUUCAUGCGCAUGCGCGCUGUCGCUUAUUGUGUUCGCAAAGAUGGCGUUGAGUAAAACAUUUGGACAAAAACCGAUAAAAUUUCAACUCGAGCAAGAUGGGGAUUUUUAUAUGAUAGGUUCAGAGGUUGGAAACUACCUGCGUAUGUUCAGAGGCUCUCUGUAUAAGCGGUACCCAUCACUAUGGAGACGUCUCGCGUCCGUGGAGGAGAGGAAAAAGAUCGUAGCAUCAUCACACGAUCACGGUUACACAAAUUUAGCCACCAGUGUGACUCUGCUGAAGGCGUCUGAAUGUGAGGAGAUCUUCGAGGGGAAUGAUGAGAAGUACAAGGCAGUGUCUAUCAGCACAGAGCCUCCAGCAUUCCUCAGGGAGCAAAAGGCGAAGAGGAACAGUCAGUGGGUGCCCACCCUGCCCAACAGCUCCCACCACCUGGACGCAGUGCCUUGCUCCACCACUAUCAACAGAAACCGAAUGGGACGGGACAAGAAAAGAACCUUUCCAUUAUGUUUCGAUGACCACGACCCUGCAGUGAUCCACGAAAAUGCUUCCCAGGCAGAGGUUCUGGUGCCUAUCCGCCUUGACAUGGAGAUUGAUGGACAGAAGCUAAGAGAUGCCUUCACCUGGAACAUGAACGAGAAACUUAUGACUCCAGAGAUGUUCGCUGAGAUCCUGUGUGAUGACCUGGACUUGAAUCCUCUUGCCUUCGUCCCUGCCAUCGCCUCGGCUAUUAGACAGCAGAUCGAGUCUUACCCUACCGACAGCAUUCUGGAUGAGCAGACGGACCAGAGAGUCAUCAUUAAGCUAAACAUUCACGUUGGGAACAUCUCUCUGGUGGACCAGUUCGAAUGGGACAUGUCAGAGAAGGAGAACUCGCCAGAAACGUUCGCUUUGAAGCUCUGCUCUGAGCUGGGACUCGGAGGAGAGUUUGUCACCACCAUCGCCUACAGCAUCCGCGGACAGCUCAGCUGGCAUCAGAGGACGUACGCCUUCAGGUCUGAUUUCAGGUCAAUAUGCUUCAAUAUUUCUUGAUCUUCUCUCCCUCUUACCCCCACGUUUCAUUCCCUGGGAAGCUGAGUACUUUCAUCUUUUCUUAUUUUAUUUAAUUUUUUCGUAUAUCUUUGUAGGAUUGGUCCCUGCUUAUUGAAAUCUUGCUAAUUUAUAAUGCAGUUUAUGAAAUAAACUUUAAGAAAUAGCUUAAACAUAGUGAUCCCAGAACAGACAGUGGUUUGGUUCUGCAUGUGCUGCCACAUCAUGGCUUUUAUUUUUAUAUGAUGGUUACAAGUAAAUCGUAUCAAUAUAGAAAAAGAAAUUUCCUUUCAAAAGUUUUAAAAGAUAUUUCUAGAUCACAUCUAUGCCUCAGUGGUCAUCAGUGAAGCAUCAUUGGGAUUCCAUGAUGUUUAAGCAAUGAUGUCCACUUCUAACGUCAUAUGGCUCAUUUCCUGUAGUGAGAACCCAUUACCAACAGUGGAGAUUGCCAUUCGGAACACAGGUGAUGCCGACCAGUGGUGCCCCCUGCUGGAGACCCUGACAGAUGCCGAGAUGGAGAAGAAAAUCAGAGAUCAGGACAGAAACACAAGGCGUAUGCGAAGACUUGC